UACAGAAAAUUUACUCGAAGUUCCGAUCUGAUCGGUCUUCUUGGGAGUGUUAGCUCACGCAAAGACCUUCUUCUUGACUGAUCUGGAUCCUUUCUUCAAAUCUUUAGAAUCUUUUCAGAGAUUAAAGAUGGACUUAUAAAGGAGAUGAAGAGGUAAAAGAAAGAUAGAGAUAAAAAUAAUUUUUUUCUUAUUUUUUUCUCUUCCCAAACCCUUAAGACCAAAAAUCUAAAUUCAAAUUUUUGCGCAACCCUAAGAGAGAGGAU
rnacentral:lncRNA from 1 species